rfam:Camelus ferus unplaced genomic scaffold scaffold743, whole genome shotgun sequence.
GUGUGUAUAGCUCAGUGGUAGAGCAGCUGCUUAGCAUGCACAAGGUCCUGGGUUCAAUCCCCAGUACCUCCA